UGUUUGACAGCAUACUCACACAACCACAUCUUCAAUUCUACCAUGUGCUCGAACAUCAAACCUUUCCUUAGGUAAGACAUCGAAAUCUCGUCAAGUGUACUACUUGGGAACUGUCUAGCCCCAGUUGUCUUGCUCAUGCCACCGUCGACAAUAGCCUUAUCUGCAAGGUUAACAUCACAAAACAAAGGAACUUUGUGAUCCCUACCAGUGAUUUUUGUGCACCACUCUACUUCUUUUUGAGUGAAGCCAUCCUCGUCCAACUCAUUCAUCGGGCCUUCAUCAUCCGAGUCAUCCACACAAGCACGUUGAUAGAUAAUGUUAGGAUCCAUGUCCUAAUGCCUUACUUGAGCCUCUACGUCACCAACGAUGUUGUGUUGCCUCUCAUACUCUUCCUCGAAGUCAUGAUCAUCAUCAUUGAUCGGUGCACUAC
rnacentral:lncRNA from 1 species